GACUGAUGUUGUUGUGAUGGUGGUACUCACCUAAUUGUGGUUGCAGGGUCAAGACUCAGCUCCUGGCCCCUGUGUUAUUGCUAAAUUGGCCUAAUUUGCCCGAAAUGUUCAGCAUAACAAGGGGCUUUCUAUACAGUAAUUGGUGAAGGAUGGGUAUUGACUGGGAGUACCUCCGUGGGGUCACUGGGGAUUCAGGGGCCUGGGGUGAACCGGAUCUAGAGAAGCUCUAUCAUACUCUUGAGGGAAUUACCAAAGUGGAGCCUCAGGACAGGACUGUUAAGAAGUUAGAAAUGCUCUUCACUCACACCCAAGCAGUGAUGAUGGCCAAACAUGCUCAGG